rnacentral:rRNA from 1 species
CGUAGGGAGCAAGCGUUGUUCGGAUUUACUGGGCGUAAAGGGCGCGUAGGCGGCGUGUUAAGUCAGCUGUGAAAUCUCCAAGCUCAACUUGGAACGGCCAGCUGAUACUGAUGUGCUAGAGUGCAGAAGGGGCAAUCGGAAUUCUUGGUGUAGCGGUGAAAUGCGUAGAUAUCAAGAGGAACACCUGAGGUGAAGACGGGUUGCUGGGCUGACACUGACGCUGAGGCGCGAAAGCCAGGGGAGCAAACGGGAUUAGAUACCCCGGUAGUCCUGGCCCUAAACGAUGGAUACUUGGUGUCUGGAGUUUCAAUACUCCGGGUGCCGUCGCUAACGUUUUAAGUAUUCCGCCUGGGGAGUACGCACGCAAGUGUG